rnacentral:rRNA from 1 species
AUUGAACGCUGGCGGCAUGCCUUACACAUGCAAGUCGAACGGCAGCACGGGAGCAAUCCUGGUGGCGAGUGGCGAACGGGUGAGUAAUACAUCGGAACGUGUCCGGUAGUGGGGGAUAGCCCGGCGAAAGCCGGAUUAAUACCGCAUACGACCUACGGGUGAAAGCGGGGGAUCGCAAGACCUCGCGCUAUCGGAGCGGCCGAUGUCAGAUUAGCUAGUUGGUGGGGUAAAGGCCACCAAGGCGACGAUCUGUAGCUGGUCUGAGAGGACGACCAGCCACACUGGGACUGAGACACGGCCCAGACUCCUACGGGAGGCAGCAGUGGGGAAUUUUGGACAAUGGGCGCAAGCCUGAUCCAGCCAUGCCGCGUGCGGGAAGAAGGCCU